GUUGUGGCUCAGUGGUGGAGCAUUCGCCUGGCAUGUGCAGGGCCCUGGGUUCGAUCCUUGGCACACA
rnacentral:tRNA from 1 species